GUCCUUUCAUGGGUCAUCUGCAUGGUGCUGGAGCAUUCACACUCAUGUGUGAGACAUGCCUCUCUCAAACCUGGUUAAAAUAUCAGCACAUGACCCAUCUCACA
ensembl:snoRNA